rnacentral:rRNA from 1 species
UACGUAGGGUGCGAGCGUUGUCCGGAAUUAUUGGGCGUAAAGGGCUCGUAGGCGGUUUGUCGCGUCGGGAGUGAAAACACACAGCUUAACUGUGUGCUGGCUUCCGAUACGGGCAGACUAGAGGUAUGCAGGGGAGAACGGAAUUCCUGGUGUAGCGGUGGAAUGCGCAGAUAUCAGGAGGAACACCGGUGGCGAAGGCGGUUCUCUGGGCAUUACCUGACGCUGAGGAGCGAAAGUGUGGGGAGCGAACAGG